UAUGGAGGGUGCAAGCGUUGUCCGGAUUUAUUGGGUUUAAAGGGUGCGUAGGCGGCCCGGUAAGUCAGUGGUGAAAGCCUCCAGCUCAACUGGAGAACUGCCAUUGAUACUGCCGGGCUUGAGUACAGACGAGGUUGGCGGAAUUGAUUGUGUAGCGGUGAAAUGCAUAGAUACAAUCAAGAACUCCGAUUGCGUAGGCAGCUAACUAGGCUGUAACUGACGCUGAGGCACGAAAGCGUGGGGAGCGAACAGG
rnacentral:rRNA from 1 species